GAUGAGCCGUUCUAAAGGAAGUUACUUCGAAUUACUACUACUACUGUAGGUCUAGGAAUGACAGGAAGAGGACGACAUAGCAACCAAAAUACUACUGUAGUACUCUAGUCCACCUCUCUGCACCAAAAAUGCCACAACACAGGCCACCAGGUACCCUUAAGCAACAAUGUAUUCGGAAUAUUGCAAGAAACAUGGACAAACUGUGGGCAAGAGAUUACGUACAAAAUUGGCAUGAACAAAGCAAGACCUUGUCUUUCGUCUUAGGGCCAUUUGAAGAUUUGCCUGGAACAGUGGUGGAGCUUUUGAUUGAGGAACUUGUCAAUACAAAAAGGUUGAGAAAACAUCACUUGCAGAUCCUACUCGUUUAUCAUCUUGAACGCUUUGUUUUGAGAAAAGAAACAGACUUUGAGAAGGCCAUCACAUUACUGUUAUCACGCUG